GCCAACAUGGUUGAAACUUGCAUUAUACUAAAUGAAAUAGCUCAGUCAUAAAAAGGACAAAUUUUGUAUGAUUUCUCUUAUAUGACGUUCUUAGGGUAUGUGGUCACAUUCAUAGAAACAAAGUAGAAUUGGAGUUUCCAGGGAAAGUGGGGAAGGUAAAUCAAAGAGUUGGUUUUUAAUAUCUCUCAGUUUGAGAAGAUUAAAAAUUCUGGAGAAAGAUGGUGACAAAGGUUGUACAACAGUAUAAAUGUAGUUAAUGCCACAAUAUUGAACACAGAAAUGGUUAAAAUGGUAUGUUUUGUUACAUGUAUUUUACUGCAAUAAUAAAAUGUACAAAAGAAUUCACAAAAAUCUAGCUAAAUUGAGGGCAGUUAUUAUUAAUAUUGUUAAUAACUUCUAAACUAAUGAAAAUGUGAAGCCACAGACAGGUUAAAUAUCUUGUACAAUAUUAUAUGACUAAUGACUAUAGGGACUAAGCCUUGAACCCAUGUCUUCUGAUCAAAAAUAAGUUUAUUUUCUUGAAAUUCAAAACAUUUUAUGAAUCUACUCCAGAGCCUAGAAGGAUUCCAGGUUUAUUAUUUCUAAGGUCACUGAAUAAGGCAGUUGAUGGUUAGAUGAAGAAAAUCCAUUUCCAUGAAUAAAUAAUGUGUUUGUUAAGAACUUACUAAUUGGUAAAAUCCACAAUCCUCGAAGGUAAUUCUUAAUGACUUGAUGCAUAGUAUUUGUUUCUCAUUAAACUUUAUGUAAGUUUUUUUUAUAUAAUCUAGAUAGUUUUCUCAGUACUGAGGACUAUAAUUCUGGAUAUAUCUUCUAUCAUUGCUGAAAUUACAGAAAUAGAGAAAUUGCCCUUGUGUUUUUGCUGCUUUUCAAUUUUAUCUUAUGCUUAAAACAUUUCAGUCCAAAUGUAAGUGAUUGAGUGAGUGAGUGAGUAUAUGUAUGUAUAUGUAGAGAGAAAAAUGAGGGAGGGUGAAUCCUUAGGGUGAGUUUUGGUUUGAGAGUUUCCUCACAACAAAGACCUUAGAGUGCACUUGGCUGGAAAAAUGAUGACAGAUAUUCAUAGCAAGCAAAAUAAACAAGGAAAUGGAUUAUGCUUAUUUUUCAGUUAAGAAGGAAUGUAUUUUAUAAGUUCAACAGUGAGUUAAUAUGACUGCUAAUCAGUGCUGGAGCUAUAACGUAUAUUGGCUAUAAUAAGGUGCAUUGACUGGGUUACUGGAUAAACACGUGCCAUUCAAAUACUUGUGUGGAAAACCUUAAGCUUUCAUUUGACAAAAGACAUCACUCAACCUAAGGCAAAAUAUUCUAACUAAAAUAAAGUAUUAUGAUUGUUAUGGGUUAAUUUUACACAUCUAAUUUCAAAAUUAAUAAAUAGUUUUCCCUAAUGCAGAUAUUAAC
rnacentral:lncRNA from 1 species